ensembl:lncRNA
CUGAAGUCUGCAGGAUGGUAGCUCUCCAGGAGCAGGGUUGGAGAUCCCUGAACUAAACCAACAGGGUCCUAGAACUGCGGUCCUGAAACUGCAGCCAUCGCUAUAUCAUCCAUUACGAAAAAAAACCAUGACCAGGGUGGAAAAUCUCCAAAAGUGAAACCAGGCACAGCUGGAGGUGGUGUGCUUCUGCAGGAAGAUGAGUCAUUCGCGUCAGCUAAUCCUAAUGCCCGGGGGCCUUUGACUCGAGCGCUAGGCCCCAGGGGACCUGGACCUCUACCUGGCCAACCAGGGGCAGGCAGGGGUCAAGAGCUAACACCUAGAAGGGAGUAAUCUGUGAUCUAGUCAUAAUUGUGUGCCCUGUUGGUCUACACACUCUAUAAUUAAUGUAAACUUUUUUUUUUUUUCAUCUUCAUUGAACAAUAUGGAUAGUUUUCUCAUUUACAGCUUGGAAAGUGUUCUCUCGUUUUGUUUGUUUUUGUUUUUUUUAAAAUGCUUGCUUUGGUAUUUUGUUGAUGCAGUGAGAUGUAUUUUUAAUUGUGUCUGAAGUGUCUAAAUUCUCUUUGGGCCUACUGUAUGUGUUAUGUGUUUAAUGCAUUUAUAUUAUACCACCACAUAUAUCUGCUUUAUUAUUGAACUAC